AGCGAACGUUAGCGGCGGGCCUAACACAUGCAAGUCGAGCGAGAAAGUGGCUUCGGCCAUCAGUAAAGCGGCGGACGGGUGAGUAACACGUGGGUAAUCUUCCUUCGAGCGGGGACGAACGGUCCGAAGGACCGCUAAUACCGCAUACGUUUCUUCGGGACCGUCGGUCCUGGGAAGGAAAGACUAGGUAGCAAUAUCCGGCACUCGAUGAGGAGCCUGCGUCGCAUCAGCUAGUUGGUGGGGAAGUGGCCCACCAAGGCGAAGACGCGUAGCUGGUCUGAGAGGAUGAUCAGCCACACUGGGACUGAGACACGGCCCAGACUCCUACGGGAGGCAGCAGUGGGGAAUAUUGGACAAUGGGCGCAAGCCUGAUCCAGCCACGCCGCGUGAGU
rnacentral:rRNA from 1 species